GCGCUCCCCCCGUGGCUCGGUCUUCAGUCUGGUGCACGCUGCUCGACGCGCAACACGGCCCCGCUCUUGCUCGUCCGCGCGCUCAAUCGUGCUAACAGUUGUAGUGAAAGAUAAUGAGAUAAUAUCUCUGAACUAAUAUAUUUAUUCAGUGAUACAGUGAAAAUGGUCUAACAUUUUAGUGUGAUUUCCGACUUCCAAUGAAAAAAAUGUUUACCGCGUAGUAACAUUUCUGACAACUUAAGGAGCUUGGUGUCAAGUUACGUGUUCAAUCUUUUCCUUGUCAUCAGCUACGUGGAUCGGGGACUCGAAUUUGAGGGAGCGUUUGGCCGCUAACGGAACCUCCUCUUCCUCCUCCUCCUCUUCCUCCUCCUCCUCCUCCUUUU